rnacentral:rRNA from 1 species
UGGGGGAUAUUGGUCAAUGGGGGGAACCCUGAACCAGCGACGCCGCGUGAGGGAAGACGGUCUUCGGAUUGUAAACCUCUGUCUUCGGGGAAGAAAGAAAUGACGGUACCCGAGGAGGAAGCCACGGCUAACUACGUGCCAGCAGCCGCGGUAAUACGUAGGUGGCAAGCGUUGUCCGGAAUUACUGGGUGUAAAGGGAGCGUAGGUGGGACUGCAAGUCAAGUGUUAAAUUUAUCGGCUCAACCGGUAACCGCGCUUGAAACUGUGGUUCUUGAGUGAAGUAGAGGCAGGCGGAAUUCCUAGUGUAGCGGUGGAAUGCGUAGAUAUUAGGAGGAACACCAGUGGCGAAGGCGGCCUGCUGGGCUUUUACUGACACUGAAGCUCGAAAGCGUGGGGAGCAAACA